rnacentral:rRNA from 1 species
UACAGGGGGGGCAAGCGUUGUUCGGAAUUACUGGGCGUAAAGGGCCAGUAGGCGGCCUGCUAAGUCCGACGUGAAAUCCCCAAGCUUAACUUGGGAACUGCGUCGGAUACUGGUGGGCUUGAAUUCGGGAGAGGGAUGCAGAAUUCCAGGUGUAGCGGUGAAAUGCGUAGAUAUCUGGAGGAAUACCGGUGGCGAAGGCGGCAUCCUGGACCGACAUUGACGCUGAACGGCGAAAGCUAGGGGAGCAAAUGGG